rnacentral:tRNA from 1 species
GAAGUAGCUCAGCGGUAGAGCAAUCGGCUGUUAACCGAUCGGUCGUAGGUUCGAUUCCUACCUC